ACCUGCAUAUGUCAUCUUCACCACAAGUGUCUCAGGGGAGACCCCUUACAUGGCAACUAGCCUUCCCCAGAGAAAGUAUCUCAAAAGAAACAGACCAAAGCUUCAGGGCCUUUUCUGAACCACCUUGGAAAUAAUGGGCCCAUCACUCCCUCCACCUUCUACAGGUUUCUAAGGCCAAUUCGGAUUCCAGAGAAGGAGAAUUUAGAUCUCUCUCCAAUUCUUGAUGAAGAAGAGCAAGGGUCACAUCCGUGGCAUAGGGAAGAUGAGAAGUCCCAGGAUAAGAGUUGAAUCAGAGCUGCAGCUACCAGACUACACGACAGCCACACCAGAUCCUUAACCCACUGAGCAAGGCCAGGGAGUGAACCCACAUCCUCAUGGAUACUAGUCAGAUCUGUUCUCAUCCCGAAGACUCAUCCCAAUCUGCCCUCUCUCAACUCGAGUCUCAGAGAUUUAGAAACUUUUGAUGCAUCCUGAAUUGUUUCGGAUUUUUUUCCUUGUGUGACAUGGAAUACUUUAAUACCUCUUUAAAAUAGUCUGUUCAGAAAUAUGACACAUGCUGCGUUGGAUACCUAAUAGUACGUCCUGAUAAAAAUCAACCCUGUUUUUUCUACAAGUUGGGAAGAAGCACCAAAUGCCAGGAUCAAGGUCACCGUUAACGGGCUGAAUCUGUAUCCUCCUUCCCUUUGCUCCAGAAUACCAUGACUCUCAGCACUUAUCAUAAAUUGGCCUUCAGGGCCAGCACAGAAAGUGCUGGCUCUCAGUCUUGACCCAAAGCCAUUGUUGUGUAAUAAUGUCUCCAUAGCCAUAUAAUCAGUCCUGUGUGGUGUAACAAUGUGAUUAACAUAAAAUGCUAUAAACCUACUAUUUCAUCAAUAAAACAAUAUUCACAUGGAAGCCAAGAUAUUAUUUGUCCAGUUGGCUCAGUCGACUCAAGGACGAUCCUUUCGAGCUCAGUUGAAUCAAGAAUGAUCACACUUGGUAGGAUAAUGUCAUACAAGGAUUUCUUCAAAUUGCCUCAAUAUGCUUGGCUUUGAAGACACGCAGUGAGGGACCAUGGGGACCAGGGAGACACGUAUCUAGGCUUGCCACUCUCAAAAGAAGAUUUUCUUGACAACACAGAAGGAGUUUCUUCAUAGAGAUUAAAAGAUAACGUGAAAUACCUGCAUCUUUACACACACACAUAAAACAUAUGUUUCAUGUGGUUUCACUAUCCUUUAUCUUUUAAUGUUUUUCCUUGAGUAAAAUGUUUAACUCCUCCAUUUGUUUUCAUUUCAUAAUUACUAGGGAUUGACUGCCAUUAAAUCAACGGCCAAGUGAAUGGCAAGUUCGAACAAGCAUAAGAAAUUAAAAAA